AUUGAACGCUGGCGGCAGGCCUAACACAUGCAAGUCGAGCGCGCGGCGGACGGGUGAGUAAUGUCUGGGAAACUGCCUGAUGGAGGGGGAUAACUAAUGGAAACGGUAGCUAAUACCGCAUACCAUCAGCUGUGCCCAGAUGGGAUUAGCUAGUAGGGUGGGUAACGGCUCAACUAGGCGACGAUCCCUAGCUGGUCUGAGAGGAUGACCAGCAAAACUGGAACUGAGCAACGGGCCAGACUCCUUCGGGAGUCAGCAGUGGGGAAUAUUGCACAAUGGGCGCACGCCUGAUGCAGCCACGCCGCGUGUGUGAAGAAGGCCUUCGGGUUGUAAAGCACUUUCAGCGGGGAUGCUUUCGCUAUCGAACAAGGCUCACUUAGGGUGGGUUGAGGGUAGGUGGAGAAGAAGCGCCGGCUAACUACGUGCCAGCCGCCGCGGUAAUUC
rnacentral:rRNA from 1 species